AUAUAGUAUUUACUUUGAAUAAAUUAGAGUGCUUUAAGCAGAUUGAGAUUUAAAUUUUAAAUCUUUUUUGACGUUUGAAUAAUUUAGCAUAGAAUAAAAUAAUAAGAUUUGAAAGAUAAGAUUUGGUAAUUAUGUAGCAAAUAAUGAUAAAUAGGAAUAGUUGGGGGUAUUUGUAUUGAAUAGUCAGAGGUGAAAUUCAAGGAUUUGUUCAAGACAAACAUCAGCGAAAGCAUUUACCAAAGAUAUUUCCAUUAAUCAAGAACGAAAGUUAGGGGAUCGAAGAUGAUCAGAUACCGUCGUAGUCCUAACCAUAAACAAUACCAACCAAAGAUAAGAGGUUGUAAAAAUUAUAAGAAGAUUUUUUUCUUUUUUAUAAAACCAACUCCUUUUUGAAUUUUAGAGGGAAACCAUUGAGUAUUUGGGUUCUGGGGGGAGUACGGUAGCAAGGCUG
rnacentral:rRNA from 1 species